rnacentral:rRNA from 2 species
CAGGAUGAACGCUGGCGGCGUGCCUAAUGCAUGCAAGUCGAGCGACGCAUACCGGAGGGGUAACCCACUGGUAUGACGGAGCGGCGAACGGGUGAGUAACACGUGAGUAACCUGCCCCACAGACCGGGACAGCCCAGGGAAACCUGGAUUAAUACCGGAUAUCCUCGAAGGAUCGCAUGAUCUUUCGAGGAAAUGCCUUUGUGCUGUGGGAUGGGCUCGCGACUUAUCAGCUAGUUGGUGGGGUAACGGCCUACCAAGGCGUCGACGAGUAGCUGGUCUGAGAGGACGAUCAGCCACACUGGGACUGAGACACGGCCCAGACUCCUACGGGAGGCAGCAGCAGGGAAUCUUGCGCAAUGGGCGAAAGCCUGACGCAGCAACGCCGCGUGGGGGAUGAAGGCCUUCGGGUUGUAAACCCCUUUCAGGAGGGAAGAAAUUGACGGUACCUCCAAAAGAAGCACCGGCCAACUACGUGCCAGCAGCCGCGGUAAUACGUAGGGUGCGAGCGUUAUCCGGAAUCAUUGGGCGUAAAGAGCUCG